GCUGGGUGCGGUGGCGUGUGCCUGUAAUCCAAGCUACCGGGAGGCUGAGGUUGGAGGAUCAUUUGAGCUCAGGAGCUCUGAGCUGCAGCAGGCUAUGUCGAUCGGGUGUCUGCACUAAGUUUGGCAUCGAUAUGGUGAUCCCGGGGGAGCCCGGGACCACCAGGUCACCUAAGGAGGGGUGCCCAGGUCGGAGACGGAGCAGGUCAAAGCCCCUGUGUCGCUCAGUAGUGGGAUCGCACCUGUGAAUAGAUGCUGUAGCACAGCCUGAGCAAUACAGCGAGACCCAAUCUUUA
ensembl:misc_RNA Metazoa_SRP Metazoan signal recognition particle RNA